GACGAACGCUGGCGGCAGGCCUAACACAUGCAAGUCGAACGGUAGCACAGAGAGCUUGCUCUCGGGUGACGAGUGGCGGACGGGUGAGUAAUGUCUGGGAAACUGCCCGAUGGAGGGGGAUAACUACUGGAAACGGUAGCUAAUACCGCAUAACGUCGCAAGACCAAAGUGGGGGACCUUCGGGCCUCACACCAUCGGAUGUGCCCAGAUGGGAUUAGCGAGUAGGUGGGGUAAUGGCUCACCUAGGCGACGAUCCCUAGCUGGUCUGAGAGGAUGACCAGCCACACUGGAACUGAGACACGGUCCAGACUCCUACGGGAGGCAGCAGUGGGGAAUAUUGCACAAUGGGCGCAAGCCUGAUGCAGCCAUGCCGCGUGUAUGAAGAAGGCCUUCGGGUUGUAAAGUACUUUCAGCGGGGAGGAAGGCGGUGAAGUUAAUAACUUCACCGAUUGACGUUACCCGCAGAAGAAGCACCGGCUAACUCCGUGCCAGCCGCCGCAGUAA
rnacentral:rRNA from 1 species